UAAUGGAUACGAAAAGAGGAGUUGCGCUAACAACUCCCCUAACAGCACCGUUUAAGACGGUGACCAGCUUAAUAUUAUUUUUGA
rnacentral:sRNA from 1 species